GAUGAACGCUGGCGGCGUGCCUAAUACAUGCAAGUCGAGCGAACAGACGAGGAGCUUGCUCCUCUGACGUUAGCGGCGGACGGGUGAGUAACACGUGGAUAACCUACCUAUAAGACUUGGAUAACUUCGGGAAACCGGAGCUAAUACCGGAUAAUAUAUUGAACCGCAUGGUUCAAUAGUGAAAGACGGUUUUGCUGUCACUUAUAGAUGGAUCCGCGCCGCAUUCGCUAGUUGGUAAGGUAACGGCUUACCAAGGCAACGAUGCGUAGCCGACCUGAGAGGGUGAUCGGCCACACUGGAACUGAGACACGGUACAGAGUCCUACGGGAGGCAGCAGUAGGGAAUCUUCCGCAAUGGGCGAAAGCCUGACGGAGCAACGCCGCGUGAGUGAUGAAGGUCUUCGGAUCGUAAAACUCUGUUAUUAGGGAAGAACAAAUGUGUAAGUAACUAUGCACGUCUUGACGGUACCUAAUCAGAAAGCCACGGCUAACUACGUG
rnacentral:rRNA from 1 species